rnacentral:rRNA from 1 species
UGGGGAAUAUUGGACAAUGGGCGAAAGCCUGAUCCAGCCAUGCCGCGAGUGUGAAGAAGGUCUUCGGAUUGUAAAGCACGUUAAGUUGGGAGGAAGGGCAGUAAGCGAAUACCUUGCUGUUUUGACGUUACCGACAGAAUAAGCACCGGCUAACUCUGUGCCAGCAGCCGCGGUAAUACAGAGGGUGCAAGCGUUAAUCGGAAUUACUGGGCGUAAAGCGCGCGUAGGUGGUUCGUUAAGUUGAAUGUGAAAGCCCCGGGCUCAACCUUGGAACUGCAUCCAUUACUGGCGUGCUAGAGUAGGGCAGAGGGUGGUGGAAUUUCCUGUGUAGCGGUUAAAUGCGUGGAUAUAGGAAGGAACACCAGUGGCGUAGUCGACCACCUGGGCUCAUUCUGACACUGAGGUGCGAAAGCGUGGGGAGCAAACAGG